GUCUGCCUUGGGAUAGGACAGGCUACCAAACGUACACGGAUUAGUAGACAGAAGAUACAGAUGCCUCAGAUUUGACAGCUGGAGCGGCCAAAUGUGAAUAAGGAGACAAGUUGCUGUAACACCCGUAAAACUGGUAAAGUCCCUCAGACCUGGAGAAAAUCCUAGUAGAUCAAAUAGUAAGAUUCCAACCUAAUUCAAACUGAACCUAAAUCUGUCCCUUUGUCUAUUUUUCUGACUAGGGUGAGGAUCUCAAACUCAGUCUGCAGCAACUCACAACACCUGAACAUACCUAAUUAACGACUUAUUUAGAGCAGCAGUGGGGAAACUCUGCUGUUUGUUUUUUUUUCUCUCAGGUGCUUCAUGCUGCUCUUGGAAGGACCCUGGUUCAGCACAAAGUGCUCUGGGUGGUGAAGCUUCUGUAGUGAUGAACAGCAGGUUGAAGGUGAAGGUCUCUGCUGCGGCUUUUCCUCUUCUCUGAGUCACCAAGUUCCUUCAGAAGCCAAAGAACCAGGGAUUUCUGAUGUGGAAAACUUUCAUCUUGUCUGUGACAACAGUGAGAAGAAACAGGAAGAUUUGACAAUUGCAGGGGAGUUUCAGAGAGGAACCAAGAACUUCAAAGCUCCGAACUUGAGCACCUUGAGUGAAGGACACUGAAUUGGUUUUCAGUUGGAGUUGAGAACCUCCAGAGUAAAUCCAAGAAACAUUUGCAGGCAAAAAACCGUGGAAGAUCACAUUGCUGCUCCAGUUGCUGGAUACUUCCAAGUGGAAGGAGUGCAAAAUCCAGUUUUGCCUGUGCCAAUCUCAACCAUGCUUAACUUAUGUUCACAGAAGAAACUGAGCACAUUUUUGGGGUAGGUGUAACAUGUACCCAGCUGGCACAGCCAUAGUGGGGCUGCCGUUAGCUCUCUCCCUUCUGCACUGAUGGACACAUCGGGGGCACUGUGAGCCAUGCUCAGUGCAGAACAGGAAUGGAU
rnacentral:lncRNA from 1 species